rnacentral:lncRNA from 10 species
CUGCCCUCGGGCCUGGCUCGCCCGCGGGCGGAUGGCUCCGGGUCUCUGCUGCUGAGGAUGUGGCUGCCGGGCGGAGGUCGUCCACUCCCCUGGGCCUUUCUCCGCGAGCCCUCCCACGCCGCCCGCUCCUCUCCCGGGGCGAAGGGCGGGGACGAGGCGCGCCGAAGCCCCGAGCUGAAGAGAAGGGUGGGGGCAUGAGGGCGCUGGAGUGAGGAACAGAUUGGAGCCUUCCCACUUCCUCUCCAAUCUCAGCCCCCGGGAGGAGGGGUGAGGCCCUCGAGGGGGCCCGGAGUUAAGGAGGAAUAGACCGUUUCUCUCUCUCCUGUCUCCCCCGCCUCUGCCCGUCUUCCCUCUAAGCCGGCCUCUAGGUGCAGAGGCUGACGUCCAGGAUGGGGACCGGGGAAGCCUCUGGAGGGUAUAUCCGGGAAGGCACCAAGGCUGAAGUGAGAGCGGUUCUGGGGAAGGCUUUAAAAAGCAGAUAUGGACCAGGGUAGAGUUCGUACGCUGUAGCUUUUCAAGAACACCGAUCUCAUUAAUUAAAGAACAGCAACUAUUUAAUUCCAGUUAUAAACUAUUGUUUUCCAGUUAGUCUGGGUAGGUGUGGCCGUUUGUAGAAUAGUUAGAUUACAUUAGUCUAUUGCGUUGGUACAGUUGUCUAUAGCUUGAGCAUAUAAAAACUCCUGAGCCCAGCAGAAAAGUUACUUUCCAAUACCAGUCUCCAUCCUCCGUGCUUUGGAAGUUGCAUCGUUUUCCGGUUUUUCGUACUCAAAGAACACUGUCAAUUAUGACAGCUCUGUGACCUCUGGUAAUGAAUUAGUGUAUUAGUCACUCCUGAAACGUUCCUUAAAGUGCUGGAACUUAACAGUAGCACAGCACAUCCAGUACACAGCUGUACCGUAUUUCCAUAUUUUUCAAAGCUGAAAAUCUUAAUUGGAUAUCUUGGAUCAUUAACUUAAAACCUCAGCGGAUUUUUCUUUCAAAGCAGACAUAACUGAGGAUGCUGACCAAUGAAUGCAAAUAAACUAUGCAAUAUUUUUUAAAAUAACAAAUGUAUGUUAGUUUUUUUUAAGCUGAGGUCAACUAUGUUUUGGGGGGUAUGUGCUUUUUUAAAUUAUUGUUUUAUUUCAAUCGAUUUUUGGGGGUAACAGGUGGCGUUUGGUUACAUGAAUAAGGUUUUUAGUGGUGAUUUCUGAGAUUUUGGUGCGUCCGAGCAAUGUACACUGUAUCCAAUGUGUAGUCUUUUGUCCCUCAUUAGCCUUCCCCUUACCCCUGAGCUCCCGAGUCCCCAAAGUCCAAUGUAUCAUUCUUAUUGAAGACAGCUAAAUUUUUAACUCUGAGACUCACUGGAGAGAAUGACUGGUUGUCUUUGGGUGUUACUGAAAAGCCAAAGGAUUAAGCAAUAGGGAUAAAGUAGAGGAGGAGAUAAUUGUUCUCGUAUGUCAUAUGAAAAUGCUAACCAUAGUUUGUAAGCUAACAGAAGAAGCCUGAGGAAGUUCCCGAAUUUAUGAUAUCCUCUUCCCUUUUUUCCAAAGAAAGAUGCAGUCUAGCACCUCAGUUAAGAAUAUGGACUCUAAAGUCAGACUGCCAGGCUUCAAAUUCCAGUUCUGCGACCUCAGCAAAGUUACUUAACCAAGCUCUCAGUGCCUUGUUUUCUUCAUCUGUAAAAUGAGGAUGACGUCACAGCAUUGUUGAGAGAAUUAAUACAGGCUCCAGACUUGUGAAUGGAGAAGUGUUGAGGUGACCCCAGCUCCAGCCACCAGCUGACGACAACCAUACCGGAGAUCCUGAGAGCUGCCUAGCUGACCCCAGGCACCCCCCAGACUUAUUCAGCACUUAGAAGAAUGCCAGGCAGGCUUUCCCCACCAACCAAGAUGGAAUAACAGGGAAAAGACAUACCCUUCUAUCUUCAAUAAUUGGAAACCCAGACAAAGUUUAUGAAACGCUGGUUUUCAAGACAUAGGACAUCAGACAAUCAAGGACAGUAAACACUGAGAUGGGAAACAAACAAGGUGAGUACUGCAAUUGCCCAACAUUACUAGCUGGAAAGAGUUUCCCGACCAUGGCAGAGGGAGGAGGAUCCUUUGAGGUUCUGUGGUGUCCCUGAGUUGAGGAGACAAAGUUGAAAUUCCAGAGUGGUCAAGGCAGCUGGAGUUUGUAGAGCAGAGUACCAGAAAGAAAAUAGAUGCACAGAGAGAACCUCAGAGAUCUGCAAAAGAUCUCAGCUCUUCAGCUGUGCACCUAUCAGUACAUGCAUGUGACAAAGCACCCCAAGGCCAGGGGAAGAAUCACCUGAAAGUAUGAAGAGAAGAAUACUUGGAGCAUAUACAAACCAGGAAUAAUUUCAGUUCUCACCAGCCAAAUUGGAAGACCCCAUAGAUAACAGGCAUUAGGUAGAGCAGGGGUCCCCAACCUCCAGGGGCACUGACCAGUACUGUUCAUGGCCUGUUAGGAACUGGGCUGCACAGCAGGAGGUGAGCGGCAGGCUAGCCAGCAAACCUUCAUCUGUAUUUAUAGCUCCCAUCACUUGCAUUACUCCCCAUCACUCCCCAUCACUUGCAUUACCACCUGAGCUCCACCUCCUCUCAGAUCAGCAGCAGCAUUAGAUUCUCAUAGGAGUGUGAACCCUACUGUGAACUGCACAUGCAAGGGAUCUAGGUUGUGCACUGUUUAUGAGAAUCUAAUGCCUGAUGAUCUGAGGUGCAGCUGAGGCAGCAUAGCUAGGAGGUAGGUAUUUUGUUGCUGGGGACUCAUAUCAAAACCCUAUCAGUGAGUGGCAAGUGACAAUUAAGCUGCAUCUGGUGGCAGACUUUAUAGAGGCAAGUGAGUCAAUGUAUUUCAAUUGCACAGCUCUAUCUGGUGGCAAGUUUUAAGUCAGAAUCUGACACUUAAUUUAGUCUGUGCAUGGCCUGCCCAUUAUUUUAUUUACCACUUCUGUCUGUGCCUCUUUGCUGCACUGAACACUUGUCUCAGUCACAGUUUUGGUAAGCCCACAAGCUAACCCUAGCUAAAAUGAGUAAAAAGCAAACGACACUGGAGAGCUUCUUUGAAAAGUCAGAGAGACCCAAUGAUGAGACAGCAGAAGACUCUUAAGACUGCCAACAAAAAGAAAGCUGCACUUAAAAGAAAAUACCAGACUGGGCGUGGUGGCUCACACCUGUAAUCCUAGCACUUUGGGAGGCUGAAGCAGGUGGAUCCCUUGAGGCCAGGAGUUUGAGACCAGCCAAGCCAACAUGGUGAAACCCAUGUUUCUAAAAAAAAAAAAAAAAAAAAUUAGCCGGGAAUGGUGGUGCGUGCCUGUAAUCUGAGCUACUCAGGAGGCUGAGGCAGGAGAAUCUCUUGAACCCAGGAGGCAGAGGUUGCAGUGAGCUGAGACUGUGCCACUGCACUCCACUCCAGCCUGGGUGCCAGACCAAGACUCUGUCUCAGAAAAAAAAAAAAGAAAAUGCCAAAAGUUCUACUUAAGUUAUGGGUUAAUUGCAACAGGUGAUUCACAUUCUCUAAGCCCACUUUGUAUAUUAUGUGCUGACCCACUAUUCAAGGAAGCCAUGAAAACUUCAAAACUGCUUCACCACCUGGAGACCAAGCACCCUGCAUUAAAAGACAAGCCUUUGGAGUUUUUCUAAAGAAAAAACAUGAACACAGAGAACAGAAGUAAUUAUUGAAGGCCACUACUUCAUUAAGUGUGUCUGUACUGAGAGCAUCGUUCCUAGUGGCUAACCACGUUAUUAGGCUAAGAAGCCCUUUAGUAUUGGUGAAGAGUUGAUCCUGCCUGCUGCUAAGGACAUUUGUCAUGAACUUUUAGGAGAGGCUGCUGUUCAAAAGGUGGCACAUGUUCCUCUUUCAGCUAACACCAUAACUAGAAGAAUGGAUGAAAUAGCAGAGAAUAUUGAGGCACAAUUGUUAGAGAGGAUUAAUGAGUCACCGUGCUACACAAUCCACAAAAGGGUUUUGUCCCAGAAAUAGACUCAUACAUAUAUGAUCAGUGAUUUUCAACAGUGGUACAAAUGCAAGUCAGCGCAGAAAAAAUAAUCUCUUCAACAAAUGGUGCAGGAACAAUUGGAUAUCCAUAAAAUGAACUCGGAUCCACGCUUUGCACCAUAUGCAAAAAUUGACUCAAAAUAGGUAUAGGUCCUAGACCUAAAUGUAACAACCUGAAACUCUAAAAUUUCUCAGGAAAAAAAUGGGAUAAAAUCUUUGUGGUCUUGGAUUAGGCAAAGAUAUUUUCUUGUGUUUGUGGGUAAAGAAACCUUUAAUGAGGGUUCAAGGUGUAAGAGGAGGACCUUGUAGAGAGCCAGCGCUUAGCCCCAGCCUCCUCAUAUGCACAUGGCUCUGUAGAGGUUCUCCAGACAGUGCUGCUGCUGCUGUUUCGAGCCUUAUCUCCUCUGUGCUCCUC